rnacentral:rRNA from 1 species
UGGGGAAUAUUGGACAAUGGGCGAAAGCCUGAUCCAGCCAUGCCGCGUGAGUGACGAAGGCCUUAGGGUUGUAAAACUCUUUCGUCGGGGACGAUAAUGACGGUACCCGAAGAAGAAGCUCCGGCUAACUUCGUGCCAGCAGCCGCGGUAAUACGAAGGGAGCUAGCGUUGUUCGGAUUUACUGGGCGUAAAGGGCGCGUAGGCGGUGUGUCAAGUCAGAGGUGAAAUCCCGGAGCUCAACUUCGGAACUGCCUUUGAUACUGGCAAUCUAGAGUCCGGAAGAGGUUAGUGGAAUUCCCAGUGUAGAGGUGAAAUUCGUAGAUAUUGGGAAGAACACCAGUGGCGAAGGCGGCUAACUGGUCCGGUACUGACACUGAGGCACGAAAGUGUGGGGAUCAAACAGGAUUAGAUACCCCAGUAGUCCCUGAGCGGGCUGGCAAGGCGCAU